rnacentral:miRNA from 10 species
CAAUCCCCCUUACACAAUUUCU